rnacentral:lncRNA from 1 species
CGUACGCUCAGAUUGAAAUUCGAAUAGUGAAUGCCUAAGGAUUCGGAAACGGGUUUGAUAUUCAAUAGCGAUUAAAAGGGAAUGAUAAGUAACCGUUUCACGAGUACGUGAAAUCGCUCUAAUUACGGCUAAUCCAGCUGAGGGCCAAAGACUAUAAGGGCUUGUUUGGUUCAUCUAUUUUAAAUUAUGAAAUCGGAAUGAAAUAUUAAUUCCAAUAAUUAUUAUUUAUUUUACAAGAAUUGGAUUCCGAUUACUACGCCACUCUAGAAUGGAAAUGACCUGAUACAUUUAUGGCUCAAUCCAGUAUUGAAUUUCGAAUUGGCUUCCUAGUAAACCACUCAAAAUCCUCUCUUAUAAACACCUCCCCCUCCUCUACCGCACCAUCGUCUUCUUUCAUUACUCUCCUCUCUAUUAACCAAAACUCUCUCUCAAAAUUCUAAAUGUCCGUUCCGAUUUUCAUUCCAAUAAUAAACCAAACAAAUUUUUGAUAAUUUGUCAUUCCAUUUCCCAUUCUAAUGCAAUCCAAUUCCAUUUUCCAUUUUGAUUCCACUCACGAGCAAAACAUGCCUUAAAAGUGAGAAUGACAAUGGACAACGAAGCUCAGAUAGCAACACCCAAAUUCUAUCUAUUUUUUAUCC